rnacentral:rRNA from 1 species
GACGAACGCUGGCGGCGUGCUUAACACAUGCAAGUCGAACGGAAAGGCCCGGCUUUUGUGGGGUGCUCGAGUGGCGAACGGGUGAGUAACACGUGAGUAACCUGCCCUUGACUUUGGGAUAACUUCAGGAAACUGGGGCUAAUACCGGAUAGUAGCUCCUGCUGCAUGGGGGGGGUUGGAAAGUUUCGGCGGUUGGGGAUGGACUCGCGGCGUAUCAGCUUGUUGGUGGGGUAGUGGCUUACCAAGGCUUUGACGGGUAGCCGGCCUGAGAGGGUGACCGGCAACAGUGGGACUGAGAUACGGCCGAGACUCGUACGGGAGGCAGCAGUAGGGAAUAUUGCACAAUGGGCGGAAGCCUUAUGCAGCAACGCCGCGUGCGGGAUGACGGCCUUCGGGUUGUAACCCGCUUUCGCCUGUGACGAAGCGUCAGUGACGGUAAUGGGUAAAGAAGCACCGGCUAACUACGUG